AAAAUUCGUAAACGGACCGUUUAAUUCGGAUUUUCAAUAAUUCGCGAAUAAUUUGCGAAAAAUUCGCGAAUUUACUAACUAGGCUCUAAACUUGGAGCAUUGAGAACGACUUUUCAAGUGUCGAAGGCAAAGUUAGAGCAUUUUUAUGUAAAGUGGUCUUAAACUUUGUGCUUCGUGAACUCACUAUUGGGUAAAGAUGAUGUCUCAUGAAAUUUCAAUUACUGUUCGAUGUCAUGAUUUCUUUGCAUGCUUCCUUUGUUGUUAUUUGGAAUGCUUUAUAUGAUCAUUAGUAUGAUAGAUGCAAAGGCUUUAAUGAGGGAUUUGUUUCAACGUUCUUAUGAUGAAGAGCAUUACCAAACAAGUUAAUAAAUUGCCAUAUGCUUUUUUUUUAAAAAAAAUUGUGGAUGAAGAAACUCAAUACAUGAGGGUUACAAUUGAGGACUACUGAUUUUGAAUAGAUAUUGUUUGUGAAAUGAACUACAGAAAAUAAAAUGAUCAUAUGAAGCAAAUUUUUGAAGUUGAUUCACAAAAAGAAACCUCCUCUUUUUUAUAGCAGUAGUAGAAAAGAAGGAAAAGAAAAACGAAGAUGAAGAAGAAGACAAUGAAGAAGAAACGAAAGGAAGAGAAAUAAUACGAAGAAGAAGAAAGAAAAAAGAAAGAAAAGGAAAAAAAUGAGAGAAUAGUAAUAAACUUUCAUGGUCAUCCAAUUCACUGCUUCUCCUUGGUUGCCUUAUACAUGGAAGCAACAAAAACAAUAGUGGAGGCUGUGGAGCAGACUUCAUGCAUGAAAGCGGUAAGUGUGAAGUUGUAGCCUAUCACACCCUCGAUGCCAACAAUUAUCAAAUAGACGGAGAGGUUUCCAUAUGAUUGGGAAAAUGAUUAUGAUGAAUAAGAUUUCGAUGAUAAUAAUUGAUGAGUUGUUGAGGUGUUUAUGGUUUUGUUGGCUACAACAGCAGAGAGAUCAUGAAUGGAGCAGCUAUAUAGUGGUUGAUGAGAAUACCUUAGAUAUAAUACUAAUCAGGUACCCACAGUGGUCUGCUACAUCUUUUCUUCUUAUUUUUUUGUCUUUUUGCUUUUUUCUUGUUUGGUGGGAUGAAAAAUGUAAUGGAAGGUGGUAAUUUGAGAAUAUGGCAAACUGUAGGAUGGAUAUUGAGGCAAAAGAAAAGUAAAAAAAAAUGCAAGGGUUGAUUUAGAGCCAUUUUGGGAAAUGACGGGUUUUAAUUAUAGCCAAAAAAUAAAUGCGGGGGGAUAAUUAGUACAUUACAAAGUGUUAGGGAGGUUGUAAUUUAGCCAAUUUGUAAAGAGGUUAUAAUAUUACUUGCAGAAACACUACAAGUUCUACCUUUCACUUUUAAAGUAAUCUCACUCAAUUUGUCAUGUCCCGAUGCGAAAGCCCAACCAGUCGUGAAUUAGAUCUGCCGCGCGGACUGAGUUUACCCUGUAUGUGCAAGGCAAUGGAUACCAAAUUUGUUUCAAAUUAAAAAUUGAGCUACUAUUGGAUGGAUGAUUUGCUAUAGGAACCACAGAAUGUAUCUAGAGUGCAGUUAAUGAGUCAAAUUUUGCAAGUGGCAGUUAAAAAUUGGUUUAAUAAUUGAAAUAAUGUCUAUCUCAAACAUCAUGUUGUUUACCUGAAAUGUUAUAUGAAAAUUUGACUCAUCAACUGCACUUUGGGGAAUCUUUUGUGGUACUAGUGGUGUUACAAACCUAAAAAUUUACCUAAAGUGCAGUUGAUGAGUCAGUUUUUUGCAAGGUAGCAAUCAGGUAUUUGUUCAAUAAUUAAAUACUUUAGAUGCUAUAUUGAAAUCUGACUCAUCAACUGCACUUUAGGAUUUCUUUUGUGGUACUAUUAGCAGAUUGACGUACUCAACAACCAAUUUAUUCUAAGAACCAAAAAGUGGAAAUUAGAUUCUUAAAAGAUACUAGCUUUUCACUUGCACAUUGCAUAUGUUAUGCCAACUAACACUCUCUACAGUUGUUUUCAACAGUAAGUACUAUCGAGGAAUUUACUUUUUUUGGUUGUUGGUGUAAUUCAUGGAAAGGAUGAUAGUUAUCAUAGUCAAAAGAAUUUUUAUUGGAUUGUGUCAUCAUGGUUUGUAGAAAGCGAUAAACCUUGUAAAGGAAUGCUCAUUGUAAUAAUACUAGAGGCUGCCGGUCAUUUUUUUAUUUGGAUUGCGUUAUCAUGUGUUUGUAGUCAUUUUGGGUUUUAGUUUAUUUAGGAUUAGGACAGCAACAAAAAUGAUUUGUUUUGAUGAUUUUAUGUCGAAUUUAUUGUAUGCUAAAAUUCGGAUAAUGAUCUUUUAAGGUGCGGAAAAAUUUAAGUGGGUUUGAAAAUUUUUUCCCUUAACAAUAGAGGGAAUCAUUUUUUUAAGGCAGUAUUUUGGUGUAGAUUUUUUGCACCACUGGUGUGCAGGAAUUUUCUGUACACUAAAGUAUCUGGCUGUUUAUCUUAGUGAAUGUGAUCAACAGUUGGCCGAAAAGCUGGAUCGAAUGAUGGAACUAGCUUUUGCCUUUUGACAAAUUGUCAGAAAUUUGGUGUGCAGGAAAUUACUGCACAACGGUGGCGCAAAAAAUUUUCAUACUAAUCUAUUUGCCAUAGCAAUAUAGCACACAUAAGUAUUUGCUCAAAUUGAGCAAUAUUGAUUAGGAAGUUUUAGUAUUUCUUAUAAUAUUUGGAGCUCCUUAGAGAAGUUAUUAUAAGGAAGGAUUGAAUGUCAUUCAUUCGCUUUGUCCUUUUCAAUCUUAAACAUCAGCUCAACUUGUGUUUUUUUUUGCUUAACAAUAAAAAAGUACGAAUUGAGUUGAUGGUUGGAAUUGAUAGAAAGGAUUGGAUGAAGGGCAUCCAACCCCUCUUUGUACUUUCUUCUAUCAAGUUUAGCAAAGAGCACGUGUUGUGACCUCCUCGCAAAAAUACAGUAGCAAUUUCUCUGACGUAAUGUAUUCUCUGUAACAGUUAUUUUAUGUAAGAAUAAUAAUAUCUAAUCAAAUAUUCUUUCUUGCACAAAGGUACACGAGUAAAGUUUUUUUUUAACAUCGUUUUAACAUAAAAUUAUCAUAUUACUCUUGAUUAGAUUUUUUUCAACUCGCAUGAUAUUAUCAGAUUAGUUAAGUAUAAAUCACAUGUGGAAUCUUUGUGGCAGAGAAGUCUCUCUUCUUCCUUAGAUCGGAAAUUUUUGCUCACGGGGUGAUUGUCUGAUGGUUCUUCCAAAGUAUUCAUUUCAAUCACUGUUUCAGAUGGUUGGAAGAGUCCUUUUUUUGUAACAAUUAUGCCACAUGGAAUAUAUUACAAACUAAUCCAAUUAUCCCAUGUGAGAUGUUAAAGAGUCUAAUCAAGAGCAAUAUGGUAAUUUUAUAUUAAAAUGAUGUUUUGAGAAAAAUGUAUAUUAUUUUAUCUUUUUCUAACGUGAAGGAAUUUGAUUGGAUGUUGUUAUUCUUAUAUGGAAUAACUGUUAUAGAGAAGACUUUCUCCAUACUAAGUCAAAUUGUUGCAAAUUAGCUGAAGCUAGGCCAAAGUUGGAUUGGUCUCAAGUGCUAACUAUGAGGCUGUUUGUUCAUAGUAAGAUGCGAGUGUUCACAAGUCCUAAUCCUUUUUAACUUUGCAUUAAAGAGAAAUGAAUUGAGCUAUGUGAGCUGCUUUCAACUCAUAACCAACAUGAGGUUUAAAGGGCAAACCUGGACUUCAAGCGUGUGCCCCAACUAUUAAUCUGUGAUUUUGUUGGCAAUCACAAGUGAGUUUGACCCUGUGGUACAUGCAAACAAAUGUGCUCUGAGCAAUAAGUGAAAGAAAUAUGACCUAGGAGAUCUGGACAGAAGGAUAUCAUGAAAUACAAAAUUUUGAUUAGGAGUCCUAUUAGUACAGUAGGUUGUUGUUCCCUAUUCUGCUAAAGAGUAAUGCUGCACUGCUAGAGUAAUCUGCAUAUGCCGAUUCGGAUGGCACAUGCCGGUGAGGGCGGGGGGAUAGGCACAUUGUUUACCGGGUGGGCCCACCCUGUAUCAAUGGCCCUUGCCCAUUCAACAAAUCAGCAAACUUGACUAAUCGGCAAAAGAAGGCUUGUCUUCUGCUAAUGGCAUUGCUCCGAAGUUUGAUGUGCGUCACUUUCGUCGCGAGCUCUGUCACAACUGGACAAGCUGAUCCUGAGGAAUCUCAAGAACUACCUCUUAACCAGAUUCUUACUCGAAUUUCAAAACAGAUCCCCGAGAUGUGGUGGAGCUUUGUGUGAAUGGCACAGAGCAUCUUGGAGGAAGAUAAGCAAUGUUCACGGACCUGGACUGAGUUUGUCCCAUAGAGGAUUUAUUCCGGAAUCCUUGCUCCUGGCUCAUAUUCACAGAAUGAACUCUUUUCAUCUGCUCCGCCCGUAGAGUACUCAUAAAGACCUGAAAACCACGUUUUUCUUUUUGAGAAUAACUUGUUCACGCCCGCCCCACUAUAUCCAAUAAAAAAGAGAGGCAAAGCUUUUACCCGAAGCGAGAUAUUUCCUGACGGUAUAAAGCCUAAAUAAACCUAAGGCAGAAGGAACUGGGCGGGAUAAAGGAGAAGGACUGACGGUUAGGAUUGGCGGCUGAAGGGGCUUAAGACGCUCCGUCAAUCCGCUCUUCAUCGAUAGACGAAGCUAUUGCCCGGCAGUCUUGAACAAUGCCUUGAAUACUUGAAGGUGAAGGAGCAUGUGGAUGCAUGAGAUAAUGUAGAAGCUUUCCAACCCUAAAUUUCAUAAUGUGAAAACUUACGGGAUGAGAAGGAAAACUAAAACAUCAUCGAAUAUUGUUAUUCAUCAAGUUGAUAUCUGGACUAGUAGCUAUUAUGGUUAGCGACCUGCAGCCAUCUUCCAUCACUUUUGCGUUUUCGUUGAUGCUGCAUGGGAGGACUAUACAUCAUCUGCUGGAAUUGGGAUUGGGCUGCUGGCAAGAGUACACAACCGAUUCUAUGAAUGACGCAAAUUGUUGAAGAGAUUUCUUCACCUGCACAAACUGAGGCAUAAGGUAUCUUUAUUGCUUGCAUUUCACAUCAGCGGAGAUGGCCUUGGGUAUUGUGAAGGAUCUCCGAUUGUUCUAAUAGACUUUCUAGUAUAAUAGUCUGCCCAUGGGUCUUUAUUCAAAAAGGGAAAAAAAAAUAAAAAAAUACUGAGUGAGCAGGCCUCGUACAUCAAAUCAUGAUCACUCCAUUGAUCGUGAAAUGUUAGCUUAGUUUUAUCUUGGUACUUGAACUUUCAUUGAGCUUCCAAUUUGAACUUUUUUGCUCUUUACAUUGAACUUUUAAUUUGAAUUUUGAGGUCA